rnacentral:lncRNA from 10 species
GAAAUGGUGAAAAGAAAUGUGUGACACAGGGAGAUCCUGUCAAAAGAAAGGAGUGGAAUGGAAGGGAUUGGAAUGGAAUGGAAUGGAUUGGAGUAGAGUGGAGUGGAAUUGAGUGGAGUGGAGUGCAGUGGAAUGGAAUGGAAUGGAAUCCUUUGGAAAGAAAGGAACGGAAUGGUAUGGAAUGGAGUGGAGUAGAGUGGAGUGGAAUGGAAUGGAAUGGAAUGCAAUGGAAAGCAAUGGAAUGCAAUGGAAUAGAAUGCAGUGAAAA